rnacentral:lncRNA from 1 species
AAAAUUGAAUUAUCUAAUUGAUGAAAAGGAUAAAAAGAAGAAAAAAAAAAUUAAAACAAGGUAAAAUUGAAGAAAAAUGUUACAAUAAAACUUAAUAUAUUUUUAUAUAGAAGCGUAGAUAUUUACAAAUUUUCAAGUAUUUAAAGUAAUAAAUAAUAAUUAAAUUUUAAAUAAAUAAUUUAUAUAAAAUUGAAAAGAAA